GUGUCAGCAGCCGCGGUAAUACGUAGGUGGCAAGCGUUAUCCGGAAUUAUUGGGCGUAUUGCGCGCGCAGGUGGUUUCUUAAGUCUGAUGGGAAAGCGCACGGCUCAACCGUGGAGGGUCAUUGGAAACUGGGAGACUUGAGUGCAGAAGAGGAAAGUGGAAUUCCAUGUGUAGCGGUGAAAUGCGUAGAGAUUUGGAGGAACACCAGUGGCGAAGGCGACUUUCUGGUCUGUAACUGACACUGAGGCGCGAAAGCGUGGGGAGCAAACAGGAUUAGAAACCCCAGUAGUCC
rnacentral:rRNA from 1 species